GAGGGUGUAGCUCAAGUGGUAGAGCACAUGCUUAGCAUGCACGAGGUCCUGGGUUCAAUCCCCCGCACCUCCU
rnacentral:tRNA from 1 species